UACGUAGGGUGCAAGCGUUAAUCGGAAUUACUGGGCGUAAAGCGUGCGCAGGCGGUGAUGUAAGACAGAUGUGAAAUCCCCGGGCUCAACCUGGGAACUGCAUUUGUGACUGCAUCGCUGGAGUGCGGCAGAGGGGGAUGGAAUUCCGCGUGUAGCAGUGAAAUGCGUAGAUAUGCGGAGGAACACCGAUGGCGAAGGCAAUCCCCUGGGCCUGCACUGACGCUCAUGCACGAAAGCGUGGGGAGCAAGACGG
rnacentral:rRNA from 1 species